rnacentral:rRNA from 1 species
GUCCUGGCAGUAAACGGUGCACGUUUGGUGUGGGAGGAUUCGACCCCUUCCGUGUCGGAGCUAACGCGUUAAACGUGCCGCCUGGGGAGUACGGUCGCAAGAUUAAAACUCAAAGAAAUUGACGGGGGCCCGCACAAGCGGUGGAGUAUGUGGCUUAAUUCGAUGCAACGCGAAGAACCUUACCUGGCCUUGACAUGCAUCUCUAAGUCGGUGAAAGCCGGCGAGUGUAGCAAUACACAAUUUGCACAGGUGCUGCAUGGCUGUCGU